CAUAAUACUCGUUUUGGUCCGUUCGUAAUGAUCGUUGUCGUUUAUUUCACAUAGUCAUACUAUAUUAUUGUUGUGCCUUUGGUGACCCGGGAAAGAAGUACCCAAAUCAGUUGCGUUCGACACAGUUUUCAAUGCUAGCAAAUUAAACGUCGACAGUUAUUAAACGGCCAAAGUGCUAAACGUUCUAAUUUAAAUGACGUCACAGCGAAAUAUAGAGAUAUUUUAUUUUUUUAGUAUAAAUUGUGAUCGAAUAAAUGUAGACUUAUAUGUGUAUACAUACACUUAUGCCAUUCUGACCAAAAUAGAAUGUGUAGAGAAAAAAUUUAUA